rnacentral:tRNA from 1 species
GGGAGAGUGGCCGAGUGGUUAAAAGCGACAGACUGUAAAUCUGCUGAAGGUUUUCUACGUAGGUUCGAAUCCUGUCUCUCCCA